CUGAACUGCACCAGGCAGGCAGGGACAGCAAGAUGGUGUCACAGACCCACGUCCUCUUGUUCCUGUUGCUCUGGGUCUCUGGUGCCUGUGGGGACAUUGUGAUGACCCAGUCCCUGAGGUCCCUGGUUGUAUCUGCAGGAGAGAAGGUCACCAUCAACUGCAAGUCCAGCCAGAGUCUUUUAUCCAACAAUAAGAACUACUUAGCCUGGCACCAGCAGAAACCAGGACAGGCUCCUAAGAUGCUCAUCUCCUGGGCAUCCACCCGGGCAUCUGGGGUCCCCGACCGAUUCAGUGGCAGUGGGUCUGGGACAGACUUCACUCUCACCAUCAGCGGCAUACGGGCUGAAGAUGUGGCUGUUUAUUACUGCCAGCAGUAUCAUAGUGCUCCUCCCACAGUGCGUCAGACUCGAGCACAAACCUCCUCCCCGGGCCACAGAUCAGUGAGUCUUUGCUGCACCAGAUGCUUCCUCCUCACACAGGCCUGAACAUGCAUGCUUCUUCCAUCUGCCUGCGAAGUCACAUCUCUUGAUUUAUUUCUUGGAGGGUCUGCAGGGCCCAGGAGAGUAUUAAGGGACUUGGCUUUCUCUGGACCCCUUUUUGUGGGACAGAUUAUUAAAGAAGAAUGUUGUAAUGAU